AGCGCAGGCGGGCGAUCAAGUUGGAAGUGAAAUCCAUGGGCUCAACCCAUGAACUGCUUUCAAAACUGGUCGUCUUGAGUAGUGCAGAGGUAGGCGGAAUUCCCGGUGUAGUGGUGGAAUGCGUAGAUAUCGGGAGGAACACCAGUGGCGAAGGCGGCCUACUGGGCACCAACUGACGCUGAGGCUCGAAAGUGUGGUAGCAAACA
rnacentral:rRNA from 1 species